UGGUUACGCUGCACCGAGGUUCUGUUGAUCUGUUCGCAUUUUCGCACAAUCCCACACAACCCCACAUCUAUGCCCGCCGCCCAGCUGGGCUGCGCGCGCCGGCGUCCACCGAGCAACUCCCGGCGCCGGCGACUCCUCCCUACCCUCUUCCAGUGCUCGCGCCGCAGGCUCUACAGCACCGCCGCGAUGCUCCUUCUGCCCACCACGAUGAACCAGCCAUUGCGAUGUCAACGGCGACCUAACUGCUCUCUUGCGGGCGGCAACGCCGUGCCGCGGACGCUCGUGAUGCGUUCGACGAAAUGCCGCAUCGAGUCGUCGGCCGAGGGUUGAUGGGUCCUAACACCUGCGGUCCGGUCUUGCUUCGUUUAGGCCCCGCACCGGCGACGCUGAUCCGCUCGUGGCCUUCCGCAACGGCCGCGGCCUAGUCAUUGUCGCCGCCGGCUGGUCGGAGCACUCCUCUCCGCGGCGCGCAUACGGUCCCAGGAGCACUUAGUACGGCGAUUCAUCGAGAUUUUGCGGAAGCUCCAUCUCGAGGCCGAGAUUGGUGGCACGCGCCGAGGGGGGUGGGAUUGAUGAGUGAGGGGACAGGGUGAGUGUGAUACUGAGGAUGAGAAAAAGGUGGGUGCCACUGUGCCGGAGCCCGGAGAAGAGGGGAAAACAUGCGACCUGUCUCGAGGGAUAUAGGCAACAAUGUAUUGGACACGUCUGAUCUCCAAUGUACUUCAAAGCUAACCGUGGAUGGCCAUUAUUGGGUCUUGAUGCAACCUCUUUCGGCUCAAGUGUACAACUUUCUCGUCAACCUGAUAAACAUUCCAGAGCACAUAGCUACAGUUUGUCGGCUGAGGGGAAAGAGAGCUAGCGUUUUCUUUACAAUUGGAUUCAAACUUUGCAAUGCAGCUAUCAAAUGGACUGACCAAGUGUGCAGGAGAUUGGAUAAACGAAAAAAGAAUGCUUCUCUGUCCUAUUUUCCAGGUAUGCUACUCUUACAUUAAGUCCUGCAGAACUGAACUUGAAGUUUCUUGCAAAUGCACCUGCUUCUCCUUUGUCCUGUUUUGUGUGCUCAGCAAUAAGUUAUAACCACCAAUAUCUUUAUUGUGAGUGACUCUUAGUCAAAUGCUUGUUCAACUUCGUUGUUACUAUAAUAUACCAGUAGCAAAUCUCCUUGUUGAACCUCAAACCUCCUGAAAAAGCCGGUUGUUUUAUGGAACUUGAUUGCCUGUUACCAUAACGUUAUAGUAGGGCAUGCAGGAGAUUGCUGAAGUGAAAGAAAUACGUAGAUGCACGCAUCAUUCUGUUCGUUCUUUGCUCCUCCUUUUGUUUUGAUCGAAAGUAGAUCCAAAAACUAUCAUUCUUUCCCGUAACCACCUUUACUGCUUUUUCCUCCUCCGCAAGCUCAACAGCUAGGCGUUGCACGUACGGAUUAUGCUAGGCUAUUACUAGCCGUAGUGAGGGCUUAACAGCCCUACGCCAUCUUUUCCUCACCAGAAACACUAUCUUACACAGAGAAAAAGAGGGCACAAAGGCUGGCGAUGCAUGUUGCAUGGUGUGGUGUGGUGUGACCCCAUGCAUCAACCUUGUAGUUGGCACCGAAUCCCACUCUCCGAGGCAGCUUCACCAUGACACCAUCCAUCCAUCCAUCCAUCCUCCAUCUCUUUUCCUUUUGGUUUGGCUCUUAAAAGUUGCGUAUCUUUAGCUCUUUCCAAGGGAGGGUACUUCCGUUCCAUCCAGCCCCAGCCCCCCCCCCCACCCCCCCCACCCCACCCCACCCACACACACACACACACAACAAUGUUCUACCACUAAUCUGUCACUCACUCACUGGCCACCACCGCGUGCAUUGCGUUUCCUGUUUGGUUUGGCCUCCAGUAUUGGAAGAUAUCUGGACCUGUAUGAACGAGAUCUGGAGGCCGGCCUUCCAGGUUCGGUGGCUUCUGAUUCUCCGGGCUCAGAACCUUCAAAUCAUGCUUACCAUUAACAAUGCCCCCUUCCUUUUGCGAUCGAUUCGAUUUCGUGGCGCUUUUACAGGGGAGGCGGUGUGAACCCGGGCCGCGACUAAACGCUCAGGAUGUUGGAGGGGGAAUAAAGCGCGCCCUUGUCUUGGCCGCUUUGCAAUUGCGGAGUCUCUGAUGCGAAUAACCCGCUGUCCUAGUGUAAUUUUGUAUUGCAGGCAAUUUGGAUGGCUGGGGAAUGAUUCACGGAAUACCUCGUCCCCAGUUCGUAAUGGUACGUACGCCUGUGGUACUGCAGGCUACCUGCCGGUAUGCGCUUGUCCUGUGCCGCGCUGAUCGGCUUGCUGAUGGCUGAGUGGUGAGAGCGAGGACGCAGUGCCGAGCCUGAGGAACAGGCUCGGCUGGUCCCUGGCGUGGCGUGUGUUGCAGUCGCCGGGCGGAAUGGCAGUUUGGCCUGCACCGGGACUGGGGCAUGGCCGAGACGGGCGGUUUUGUUGGAGCCUUGGACGCACGCUGCCGGCCUCCUCGCCGUCCCGUGUGUCACAGGUACUUGUGCUGCAGCACCGGCUCACCGGCCUGCGGCGCCCGCCAGCCAGACGCCGGGCCCUGGCCCCGGACUGGGGGCAUGAUGUUAACCUGACCUUGCUGCUGGGGCUGGGGCUCUCCUCCCUCCAUUCUCCAGUCUCAACUUGCUUGAGCAGUUGAGCCCAUUCUGAAGCCAAUCCCAGGUAAAAAGCGACACAUCCAUGCCGCCAGCGCCCACUGGGGGCUCGGCUAGGGGCCUAGGGCGCUUCUGCUCAAUGCUCAUAUGAGCUUGCCCUUACCCUGAUAAGAGCAAGUAUAAUAAGGGGCUGUAAGCUGGCUGAAUGCUGACGUGGAGGAGAGAGAAGAGGUGAGAGAGGAGAAGCGGGCUAUAAGCUUACAGCCGAUUUGGACACAGGAACCAAGAAAUUUUGUGAGAAUGACUCGUGGACCAUGUAUUAAUGGUGAAGAGCUAACCAUUGUACGAGUGGGCUAGAAAAAGGCUGGGAGAAACCUUGCAGCCCGCUUGCUAGCUGCGUUAUUAAACUUGCUCUAACAUCACAAGUCCAGUCUCCGUCGAGUCCAGUCAACUGUCAAGUCCUCCAGCUCGUCGUGCCCGACACCAACGUCCGUGCUGGAGCUCGCCGGCACUUACGUUCGCACGUGCCUCCCUCUGCUGCUGUAGAGCAGCGAGCACAGCCUGGUUGGCGAGGGUGAGACGGGGAAAUGACGAACGGCGUGGCCGAAACUGGGAGCCCCCGAGCGUGCUCGUGUUGCCGGAUACAAACGAUGGCUUCGGUUACGUGCAACGUGCGCGGUGCAUGUGAGGGUCCAUUGGCCGGAUGCAACGCUGGGCACACAAGACAAAAAACGGCGAGGCCAAGGCCAGGAAGGAAGCAGCACGCCGUGGGUCGGGUGAUGCAAGCCACAUGCGUCCCUGCACGGCUGUUGCUAGGCAGCUCGACACAUUGAGGAGACCACACAUGGGGGCCGAGCCUGGCACGCCCUAGCUAGAGAGGCAUUGGGGUUUCAUUCAAGGGCGGCUAUGCUUUGUUUCAUUGUUUGGGACGCGGACUCAGAUACGAAAUUUCUGUGGUUCUUCGUGUGGUCACUGGUCAGGCUUUGCAAAUAAACAUUUGCUGGAAAAAAAUACAC